rnacentral:rRNA from 1 species
CACGUAGGGCGCAAGCGUUGUCCGGAAUUAUUGGGCGUAAAGAGCUCGUAGGCGGUUUGUCGCGUCGGCUGUGAAAACUGGAGGCUUAACCUUCAGCGUGCAGUCGAUACGGGGCAGACUUAGUUCGGUAGGGGAGACUGGAAUUCCUGGGUGUAGCGGGUGAAAAUGCGCAGAUAUCAGGAGGAACACCGGUGGCGAAGGCGGGGUCUCUGGGGCCGAUACUGACGCUGAGGAGCGAAAAGCGUGGGGGAGCAAACAGGA